CCCCCGCCCCGCGGCCCAGGGCGGCGGCCGGUACCUGUAGGCCAGGGACAUGCACUCGAAGAGCUUCGUGAGGGAGGCGUCGAUGCUGAGGCGGCCCCCGGCGCCGCCGCCGCCGCGGGCCGCCCCGAACUGAAGAAGCCUGCAACUACAGAGAAAGGGUCAGGACAGGGGUUGUACUGCCAGCCUGCUGCUCACACCUACCCCAGGUACCUGCUCGUACGUGCAUAAAGGCUGCACGGUUGAUCCAGGGACAGCAAAGAUCAGAUUUCACCCUGCUUAAAAAGCGUAAAGGAAGCAAUGGAUCCUGUAAGUCACCAAGCAAGCACAGCGACAGUAGACGUAUUAGCCUGGGGAGAGAAGAGCAGCUUACAGCACAAGAGCCCAUAUACAUAUGUAUGGGUGAACAAAGAGGAAAGAUCUCUAGCUCGCCCUGUAAAGCAAACCUCCAUCACCAGCAGAGCACCUGCGUUCUAGCAAUCUGCAGCGCAAGGUGAAACACAGGCCACCAUCUUCUGAUGAUGUUCCUUCAACAGCACAGGCUUUUAGCACAGGAGGAGACAGCUAUUUACCUGCUCAGAAUUCAGCUGUAACACACUGAACAGAGUCAAGCUGUUUAAAAAUACACCCGCAGUGUACUCCACAACACUUAGUGGUAAGAGAUUACCCUCCUAGAUCUACAGACGGGAAGAUAAGCAUUCCCAUUCUGAUGAGGCACAAGAGCUGAAGGGAUCUUACUCACAGCCUGGCUGUGGAGCUGAUUGCAGGCACUGGAGUCCAGCCAUCCCUCACCACCCCACUGGCUCCUCUGCCCUUCCUGCUCCUGGGCAAACCACAGGGCCAACCUCCAGAGCCAUGCCCUGCUCUGAGGCUACGCUCUUGCUUGCUCCUUCACCCUUUACCAGCACAAGCCUUACCUGUUCAGAGGCCUUUACUUCUGGGACCCAUCUUCAAUUACAUCCUUGUUUCUAACCUGUUCUUUUCUCUCUCUCCAGUUCGCCCUAUAUACAAUUCCUUUAUAUAAGCCUGCUGAUUUAAUCUACUAAUCCAGAGAAGAAAAAAAAAACACCUAAAAUGAGCACUUUUCUCCUCACGUUAACAAAUUCAAGUGGUAGAGGAGAGGAUGCUAUGAGCACCCAGUGAAUGCAAGGGAGGCAACAAAACCAAGCUGGGAGCAGGCAAGCUGGCUGUGGCUUACUCUUCUGGCAGGGGUGAGCCAGCAUCCCAGUUCAGCUGUCUGUGAAACCACAGGCUGCUUUGGGACAGAGCACAUCAAACACUAAAAAUAAGCUGGAUAUUUAUAUCCCUCUUGAACGUAAAGAAUCUUUCCAAAACUCUCCAGGAGUUUUACCCUUGCCAGCAUCAGACUUUGGAGCAUGUUUCCAAACUGAAGCACGUUUCCACACCGUGCUCUCCUCCCUCCAAUUUCAGUUACCACCACAAGUUAGCACCUUAAAUGAUCAAGUUAUCCUGCAGGUUGCUGUAAUUACAUUGGCCAAAUUUAUUUGCUACAACAAACUAUCUCCACCCCUCUCAGGUCUGUGGCCUACUCAAAGGUGAAUCACUUCACAUUACCAAAUGAGACCCCACCACAGAAUGCACAUUUAAAAAUACAACUUUGAAAACCAGACAUUUAUUGUGAAUUUAAAAAGAAAACCCAAACUGAGCUUCAGUUUCUUGAUAAAAAUUCUUCACACAGUUGUUCAUGUGAUUUUUUUAUUUUAUUUCUGAAAUGAAACCAUUGUACAUUGUACAAACCAUAACUACCGAUGGAAUAAAUAAGUGAAAAAUUAUACUGCUGUACAACACACACACACACAAAUCAUAAGAUGGAAAACGAUUAGGUAUUGAAGAAAACAAAAUUCUUUACACCUUCUAACAGGCCCUUAGAUAGAAAGAACAUUCCAAAACAUGACAAUGUUUGAUGUAUGAAGAGAGCCACCCAAAACCAGUAUUUCAG